CUUCGGGUGCGGAUUAGCGGCAAACGGGUGAGGAACACGUGAGGAAUCUGCCUUUCACUUCGGGAUAACUCCGGGAAACCGGGGCUAAUACCGGAUACUUUCAACUGGCGGCAUCGCCGGUUGAAGAAAGUUUUUCGGUGAAAGAUGACCUCGCGGCCUAUCAGCUUGUGGUGAGGUAAAGGCUCACCAAGGCAACGACGGGUAGCCGGCCUGAGAGGGCGACCGGCCACACUGGGACUGAGACACGGCCCAGACUCCUACGGGAGGCAGCAGUGGGGAAUAUUGGGCAAUGGAGGAAACUCUGACCCAGCGACGCCGCGUGAGGGAUGAAGGCCUUCGGGUUGUAAACCUCUUUCAGCAGGGAAUAAGCGAAAGUGAAGGUACCUGCAGAAGAAGCACCGGCUAACUAUGUGCCAGCAGCCGCGGUAAUACAUAGGGUGCAAGCGUUGUCCGGAAUUAUUGGGCGUAAAGAGCUCGUAGGUGGUCGAUCACGUCGGAUGUGAAAAUCUGAGGCUUAACCUCAGACCUGCAUUCGAUACGGGUUGACUGGAGUGUGGUAGGGGAGACUGGAAUUCCUGGUGUAGCGGUGGAAUGCGCAGAUAUCAGGAGGAACACCCAUGGCGAAGGCAGGUCUCUGGGCCAUUACUGACACUGAGGAGCGAAAGCGUGGGGAGCGAACAGGAUUAGAUACCCUGGUAGUCCACGCCGUAAACGGUGGGCACUAGUUGUGGGAACCUUCCACGGUUUCCGCGACGCAGCUAACGCAUUAAGCGCCCCGCCUGGGGAGUACGGUCGCAAGACUAAAACUCAAAGAAAUUGACGGGGCCCCGCACAAGCAGCGGAGCAUGCGGCUUAAUUCGACGCAACGCGAAGAACCUUACCAAGGCUUGACAUAUACAGGAAUACGGCAGAGAUGUCGUACCGCAAGGUCGGUAUACAGGUGGUGCAUGGUUGUCGUCAGCUCGUGUCGUGAGAUGUUGGGUUAAGUCCCGCAACGAGCGCAACCCUCGUCCUGUGUUACCAGCAUUUAGUUGGGGACUCACAGGAGACUGCCGGGGUCAACUCGGAGGAAGGUGGGGAUGACGUCAAAUCAUCAUGCCCCUUAUGUCUUGGGCUGCACGCACGCUACAAUGGCUGGUACAAAGGGCUGCGAUACCGCAAGGUGGAGCGAAUCCCAGAAAGCCAGUCUCAGUUCGGAUUGGGGUCUAAAACUCGACCCCAUGAAGUCG
rnacentral:rRNA from 1 species